AGUGAACGCUGGCGGUAGGCCUAACACAUGCAAGUCGAACGGCAGCACAGUAAGAGCUUGCUCUUACGGGUGGCGAGUGGCGGACGGGUGAGGAAUACAUCGGAAUCUACUUUUUCGUGGGGGAUAACGUAGGGAAACUUACGCUAAUACCGCAUACGACCUACGGGUGAAAGCAGGGGAUCUUCGGACCUUGCGCGAUUGAAUGAGCCGAUGUCGGAUUAGCUAGUUGGCGGGGUAAAGGCCCACCAAGGCGACGAUCCGUAGCUGGUCUGAGAGGAUGGCAGCCCCCCAGGGAAAUGGAGCCACGGCCCAGCCCCCUAGGGGAGGCGGAGGGGGGGAAAUUUGGAAAUGGGGGGCAAGCCUGCACAAGCCGACCCGGGGGGGUGAAGAAGGCCUUCGGGUUGGAAAGCCGUUUUUUGGGAAAAAAAAGCAGGCGGGUUAAACCCCCCCUGUUUGACGGGAACCAAAAAAAAAGCCCCGGGCUAAUUUGGG
rnacentral:rRNA from 1 species